UGUACCUGCACAUGAUGAUAAAUGAUGUUGGUAGGGACAUCUGAGAGCAUGAUGAAUACCAACAUCUCUGAGCAGGAUUA
ensembl:snoRNA small nucleolar RNA SNORD74